UAGGGAAUCUUCGGCAAUGGACGGAAGUCUGACCGAGCAACGCCGCGUGAGUGAAGAAGGUUUUCGGAUCGUAAAGCUCUGUUGUAAGAGAAGAACGAGUGUGAGAGUGGAAAGUUCACACUGUGACGGUAUCUUACCAGAAAGGGACGGCUAACUACGUGCCAGCAGCCGCGGUAAUACGUAGGUCCCGAGCGUUGUCCGGAUUUAUUGGGCGUAAAGCGAGCGCAGGCGGUUAGAUAAGUCUGAAGUUAAAGGCUGUGGCUUAACCAUAGUACGCUUUGGAAACUGUUUAACUUGAGUGCAAGAGGGGAGAGUGGAAUUCCAUGUGUAGCGGUGAAAUGCGUAGAUAUAUGGAGGAACACCGGUGGCGAAAGCGGCUCUCUGGCUUGUAACUGACGCUGAGGCUCGAAAGCGUGGGGAGCAAACAGGAUUAGAUACCCUGGUAGUCCACGCCGUAAACGAUGAGUGCUAGGUGUUAGACCCUUUCCGGGGUUUAGUGCCGUAGCUAACGCAUUAAGCACUCCGCCUGGGGAGUACNACCGCAAGGUUG
rnacentral:rRNA from 1 species